UAGGAAUGUGUGCCAGCAGCCGCGGUAAUACGGAGGAUCCGAGCGUUAUCCGGAUUUAUUGGGUUUAAAGGGAGCGUAGAUGGAUGUUUAAGUCAGUUGUGAAAGUUUGCGGCUCAACCGUAAAAUUGCAGUUGAUACUGGAUGUCUUGAGUGCAGUUGAGGCAGGCGGAAUUCGUGGUGUAGCGGUGAAAUGCUUAGAUAUCACGAAGAACUCCGAUUGCGAAGGCAGCCUGCUAAGCUGCAACUGACAUUGAGGCUCGAAAGUGUGGGUAUCAAACAGG
rnacentral:rRNA from 1 species